UACGAAGGGGGCUAGCGUUGCUCGGAAUCACUGGGCGUAAAGGGUGCGUAGGCGGGUCUUUAAGUCAGGGGUGAAAUCCUGGAGCUCAACUCCAGAACUGCCUUCGAUACUGGAAAGCUCGAGUCCGGGAGAGGUGAGUGGAACUGCGAGUGUAGAGGUGAAAUUCGUAGAUAUUCGCAAGAACACCAGUGGCGAAGGCGGCUCACUGGCCCGGUACUGACGCUGAGGUGCGAAAGGCGUGG
rnacentral:rRNA from 1 species